AGUGGAGCUGAAGCCCCGCUAAGAUCGCCUUUUUCCGCUGCUGCUGCUUUCGUUUCGGUAUCUGCUUCCGUCGCGGGGCAACGCAGACGCCGAACAGCCACAGCUCGCACGCGAUACGGACAGCCAGCCCAAGCGCGAGCAACAACUGAUCCCUUGUUGGCUUUGUUGCAAACUGUCCUACUACACCUCCAGAGCAAGCGACCACUACAUACUAUUUCUAGUAUAUCCGUGGGACCACUUGGUCGUCGUGCUUGAUCCGGCACAUUAUGCCGAGAAGACAUUCACGGAAUUCCUUGUGUUGUUGAACUUAGCACACAAGUAUUACAAAGACCAAAGCGGACGAGUAAAGGAUGCCAGUAAGAGUAAGCUUCUCGUGAAGACACGAUGGCCGGUAAUGAAUGUGUUGCAAGCAACCACCAGGCACUAACUUAUGUGGAUACUACAUGUGCGAGAUGCUUCAAAUUAAUGGGAGAUCAUGUCAAUUCCAUGGGUAGCAAACCUGUUCGACAAAAAAAACCAUUCUCAACUUGUGUGCAGAUAUUUGUCGUUACAUCCGCCACGAUGUUUGUAACCAUUUGGGCGAAUUCUACGAUCCGGAGAGCGACCUUGCAAAGAAUGACGCUUUCAAACGCCUAAGAGAGUGGGAGAAAGAAUUUACGUGAAAAAACAAUUUAGAGACAUAAAUUGUAUUUGGUUUUGAAUUAUUGUAAAUUCCAAGACAAUAAUUAUAUAUAUAUGUGUGUAUGUGUAUAUGUCUAUUACAUAUUUUA